rnacentral:rRNA from 1 species
GACGAACGCUGGCGGCGUGCUUAACACAUGCAAGUCGAACGGAAAGGCCCUGCUUGCAGGGUACUCGAGUGGCGAACGGGUGAGUAACACGUGGGUGAUCUGCCCUGCACUUCGGGAUAAGCCUGGGAAACUGGGUCUAAUACCGGAUAGGAGCCAUUUUGAGUGUGAUGGUUGGAAAGUUUUUUCGGUGUAGGAUGAGCCCGCGGCCUAUUAGCUUGUUGGUGGGGUAAUGGCCUACCAAGGCGGCGACGGGUAGCCGGCCUGGGAGGGUGGUCGGCCACCUUGGGACUGAGAGAAGGCACAGACGCCGACGGGAGGCAGCAGUGGGGAAUAUUGCACCAGGGGCGCAAGCCUGAUGAAGCGGCGCCGCGUGGGGGAUGACGGCCUUCGGGUUGAAAACUCCUUUCGCUAGGGACGAAGCUUUUUGCGACGGUACCUAGAGAAGAAGCACCGGCUAACUACGUG